GGUGGUGGAAGCAGUGUGUGCUGGAUUCUGUUGUAUAGUCCAGUAUCCACUGUAAUCUCAUUUUUUUCUGGCUGGCUUCCAUUAAAAUAUCUGGGAAAGGUUUUUACCAGCUUUCAUUAAAAUAGAGUUUGUUAUAGGAUAAUGUGUAGGAAAUGGAAUUCUGUUUUACUGCCCCAUCCCAUUUUUUUUUUUUUUUUUUUUUUUGCUUCUUGUCUUAAACACUGAUGCUGUCUAGAACUGCGGUUAUGCAGGGGUCAUCUUGUGAAUGUGAAUAAAUACUGUGUCUUGCCCAGGCUUCACUGAGUUUCUGACUACUGCGAGGCUUCUGGGUAUAUGAGUAAAAAAACAAAUCAGACCUUGAGUUAGGGUCAAAGUUUCUGUGACUUUGCAUCCAAAUGCAUUCCUCAUUGAUAUACUCUGGUACCUCAGAUUACUUGCAUUUGCUUUCUGUUCUUCAGUAAUCUUACUCCAAAAAAUGAGGGCAAUGAAAAUAUAUAAAACUAAAGUUCUCAUCCCAACACUUUUUAAAAUCUAAAACUUCCAUUCUGCUUAGUCAGGAUGAUCUGUACUUAUGAAAUGCUUAACAGUUGCUUGUUGAAUAGAUGUGAAAGAUAGAUGAACCCUAUACAAAUUCAAUGAUUGAAACCUUCAGUUUUCUGACCUGGCUGUUCCAUGGUGCAAAGCAACAUUAUACCCUGAGAUCAGCAUCCAUCUCUGUUAUACAAACCCUUGCUUUGGUGCUCACAAAACCUUGCCCUGAUCCU